AUUCAACCAUUUCCGGGCUGUGUUCCUAAGGAUUAGCUAUGGGACCUCAUGCCAAGGCGAAGCGGCCUAAGGGUUUAAAUGGAAACGUUUAGACCUUCCUUAAUGGAAAGGAAGAAAAUUUCAUACCCA
rnacentral:ncRNA from 2 species